UGAGGAAUAUUGGACAAUGGGCGCAAGCCUGAUCCAGCCAUGCCGCGUGCAGGAAGAAGCAUCUAUGGUGUGUAAACUGCUUUUGUACGGGAAGAAACACUCCUUCGUGAAGGAGCUUGACGGUACCGUAAGAAUAAGGAUCGGUUAACUCCGUGCCAGCAGCCGCGGUAAUACGGAGGAUCCAAGCGUUAUCCGGAAUCAUUGGGCUUAGAGGGUCCGCAGGCGGUUUAGUAAGUCAGUGGUGAAAGCCCAUCGCUCAACGAUGGAACGGCCAUUGAUACUGCUAGACUUGAAUUAAUAGGAAGUAACUAGAAUAUGUAGUGUAGCGGUGAAAUGCUUAGAUAUUACGAGGAAUACCAAUUGCGAAGGCAGAUUGCUACUAAUGGAUUGACGCUGAUGGACGGAAGCGUGGGGAGCGAACA
rnacentral:rRNA from 1 species